UACGUAGGGGGCAAGCGUUGUCCGGAUUUAUUGGGCGUAAAGAGCGUGUAGGCGGCCAUGCAGGUCCGUUGUGAAAACUCGAGGCUCAACCUCGAGACGCCGGUGGAAACCGUGUGGCUAGAGUCCGGAAGAGGAGAGUGGAAUUCAUGGUGUAGCAGUGAAAUGCGUAGAGAUCAUGAGGAAGACCAGUGGCGAAGGCGGGUCUCUGGACAGUUCCUGACACUGAGACACGAAGGCCAGGGGAGCAAACGGG
rnacentral:rRNA from 1 species